rnacentral:rRNA from 1 species
GUCGAACCGUGCGAACGUUGUUCGGAAUCACUGGGCUUAAAGGGCGCGUAGGCGGGCCUUCAAGUCCGGGGUGAAAUCCUCCCGCCUAACGGGAGAAGAGCCUCGGAUACUGAGGGCCUCGAGGGGGGUAGGGGCGUGCGGAACUAUGGGUGGAGCGGUGAAAUGCAUUGAUAUCCAUAGGAACUCCGGUGGCGAAGGCGGCACGCUGGACCUCUUCUGACGCUGAGGCGCGAAAGCCAGGGGAGCGAACGGG